rnacentral:rRNA from 1 species
UACGGGGGGAGCAAGCGUUGUUCGGAUUUACUGGGCGUAAAGGGCGCGUAGGCGGCGCAACAAGUCACUUGUGAAAUCUCCGGGCUUAACUCGGAGCGGCCAAGUGAUACUGUCGUGCUAGAGUGCGGAAGGGGCAACUGGAAUUCUCGGUGUAGCGGUGAAAUGCGUAGAUAUCGAGAGGAACACCUGCGGCGAAGGCGGGUUGCUGGGCCGACACUGACGCUGAGGCGCGAAAGCGUGGGGAGCAAACAGG